rnacentral:rRNA from 1 species
GACGAAUGCUGGCGGCGUGCUUAACACAUGCAAGUCGAACGGAAAGGCCCUGCUUUUGUGUGGUGCUCGAGUGGCGAACGGGUGAGUAACACGUGAGUAACCUGCCCUUGACUUUGGGAUAACUUCAGGAAACUGGGGCUAAUACCGGAUAGGAGCUCCUGCUGCAUGGUGGGGGUUGGAAAGUUUCGGCGGUUGGGGAUGGACUCGCGGCUUAUCAGCUUGUUGGUGGGGUAGUGGCUUACCAAGGCUUUGACGGGUAGCCGGCCUGAGAGGGUGACCGGCCACAUUGGGACUGAGAUACGGCCCAGACUCCUACGGGAGGCAGCAGUGGGGAAUAUUGCACAAUGGGCGGAAGCCUGAUGCAGCAACGCCGCGUGCGGGAUGACGGCCUUCGGGUUGUAAACCGCUUUCGCCUGUGACGAAGCGUGAGUGACGGUAAUGGGUAAAGAAGCACCGGCUAACUACGUG